UACGUAGGCAGCGAGCGUUGUUCGGAAUUACUGGGCGUAAAGAGUGUGUAGGCGGUGUUCUCAGUCUGUUGUGAAAUCUCCCGGCUUAACUGGGAGGGUGCAGCGGAAACUAGAAUGCUAGAGGGUGGGAGAGGUAAGCGGAAUUCCUGGUGUAGCGGUGAAAUGCGUAGAUAUCAGGAGGAACACCUGUGGUGUAGACAGCUUACUGGACCACUUCUGACGCUGAGACACGAAAGCGUGGGUAGCAAACAGG
rnacentral:rRNA from 1 species